rfam:Otolemur garnettii contig090503, whole genome shotgun sequence.
GCAGUGCCCUAUGCACAAUGGUAUCAAUUACGUAGAGGAUGUAUGUAAUUGGGUCCAUUCUGGGUAGAGUAAGGCU